CUCUAAUGAUGACUCCACUUUUGUGCCACGUGUCUGGGCCACUGAAAUCUCAUGAUGGUAUUGAGGAACUGAAAGAG